AGUUUCAAUUUUCACUUCUAUCAAGGUCUUAACUUUCAUCUAUAUUAGCUUUAUUUGCUUAAUAGAGCAAGACAGAGACACAGCCAUGAACAGGGAAGACAUCUCUCAGCAACUCCAUUCUACCGCUUCUCACCACAGGUCAUGGCUCACAACCUUCUCCUCCUCAGAGUAUUCCCAAUGUCCCUUUGUGCUUGCCCAGUUGUACGUGCCUAGGUUACAGGCCAUCUUCUAUGUGGGCACCAUAAAAUGCACCGGUGGAAAGAUGAACCCAUCAAGGAUGGCAAAACAGCAAAGACGACCAGGGUGUCCAUGUGAGAGCAUUCAUAGACAUUUCCGCGUGGAAAGGAGAGAUCCUGAACUUUCAUGCUGAACUAGAGAGAGCUGAAAUCAAGCCCUGAGAGACAGACAUAAAGUUUGGAAUUAUGGCCUCAAGUUUGCUAAUAGAUACUAUGAAGAAGCCGGAAAGCACAAGACAGAGGCUGUUAAACAUCGGAGGCACAAAAGGGUGAUGCUGUUCAAGUGUUUUACAAGGAUCGGGGGUCAUAACCAUGAAAUCCUCAGCACAUGCAAAAGUCAACUGGAUAACAAAGAAACUUAAUCAUCUUAAUGUGGCAUUUUAAUGAUGCCACUGAUUUGCUAUGCCAAUUCAGAGAUAAUGAGGCCCUAAUGCUACAGAUGUUCAGCCAGGCUAAAAAAAAAA